rnacentral:tRNA from 1 species
AGGAGUACAGCUCAACUGGUAGAGCGGCGGUCUCCAAAACCGCGUCAUGCGCAGGUUCAAGUCCUGCUGCCUCUG